ACGCACCCUGCACUCCUGGCACUGCUACUUUCAGAAGAAAAAGCUAACACGGUUGAGCACCAGAGCACGAUGGAUGCUCUCCAGAUGGAUGUUAGCAGCAACCUUCAGGAAGUGGAGAGAUGUCUCAGACAGGAAGCAGGACACGAGGAGAUGUCUGGAAAGAGUGCGCCUCCUGCAGGAGAAGGGUAGGAUGCAGGCUGCGUUUGCAGUUUGGUGUCAAAGCGCUGGGGUGAGGAAGGCAUUGGAAACGGGCUUCCAUAGUUAACAGUUGCAUGAAAAAACACACAGCUAAAUGUUACAUUUGCAGUCACUGAAAUAAUUAUUCAGUCUUGUGUUUUAUGAAAACCUUGAACUGUUUACUGAACCAAAAUCUGAAGCAAUUGCAGAAUCUUACAAAGGAUUGAUUUCUUAUGGCUUGUUCACUGAGUUUACAGUUCUUGUACUGAUGUACAUCACACAUCUUCCCUGUGUUCUCCUACAGCAUUUAUUUAUUAUUAAUGUUAAUUAAUCAUUCAUUUCAUGAUUACCUAGAUAUUAUUGAGUUUUACCUUGUAUGCAUUUGUAACUAAGGUGUAAAUUUGAGUUGAUAUGCAUAAACUUUUUUAAAUUUUGUUUAAUGACCAGGUUUAAUAUUUUAACAUAUUUGAUGUCCAGAUUGUCCUGUAAUAUUUAUAAUAAUGAAAUCUUAACAAGACUGUUUAAACCACACAAGUUCUCAGAGUGGAGAAUGAAGCUGUAAUCAUUUUUAUAACCUAUCGGUCUUAAUGAGUCAUAUGAUGUAUUGAUUGACUGCUGUAAUGAAGAAUCAGUUUAGCAGUGCUUUUAUAAAAUCUUGCCUUGUUCUUACGUGCUUCUAAAGUCUUACAUUAAUAACAGCUGAUAUAACUGCAUCCUUCUUGCAUCAGAGCACUUGAUAUGAAGCAACAAUUUGAAGUUGAGCCGUUGUGCACUAUUUAUGCAUGUAUGUUUUGUCAGGUGUUUGUCAGCGUGGAGAGCACUGGUUCAGCGCAGUGCAUUACUUCUGCGUUACUGUGAUCAGAGAAAGGCGCUGGCACUCAAGACGUGCUUACAGCACUGGAGCAGAUCUCGACAGCUGCACGCUCUUCACAAGCAUUUCCUCAUCCAGCGGUUUCAUUCAGGACAGACACACACAGUGUUGAAAUGGAAAACAGGUAUUUCAGCAGAAGGACUAUCUGGCAGGCUCCUGCUCCACAACACUCUUCAGAAGUGGACAGAGAUAUUAGAGAAACGCCGGUUGGCAAAAUUUCACAGAUCGGCUCAUGAUCGGGCUGUUCUUCUGGAGUGGGACAGACACACUCAGGCUGCUGUCUCUGAUGGAGUUCUGCUCAUCACAGACAGACUGGCUCAUCUUCAUCCACCCUCCUCUGCCUCGUCCUGCUCAGACCCCCUGAUGUCCACCGCUGCGCCACAGGUUGUGUUUUCAAGAGCCCUCGGCAGGACGAUGCACCCUGCUCUGAGUCUGUGGAGGAGUCUAGUGCACACUAUCAGAGAGAGGAGACUGCAGGCGGAUCUCUGUAGAAACAGCAGGAGACGUGAAGAGCUGACUGGGGUUUUCAGGGUGUGGAGAGUUCAAACACAGAAGCAGCGCCAGGCUGUUAGACACUGGGAGAGAAGGGUGCUCUUUCAGUCAGUCAUUGAGUGGAAACAAAUGUUUUGGCAGAGACACAAGAAACACAUGUUUGAGCAGCAAGCGGCAGUUACUCAUGACAGCAGUCUACUCAGACACUACUUCACCGCGUGGACCAGGCUGGCCAUUGGGGCACAUUGUGAGCAGCAGAAGUGUGCUGUUGAAUGGAUGAAGUGCAGAAGAGAGAGACACAGACUGAAUGUGAGCUUUUCCAUGUGGGUUACAUGUGUACACCAGCAGCAGACCGCCGGAGCCAUUUAUAAUCACACACGACAGAACAGCAUGUUUUGUGGUUGGCUGAGGAGUGUUCAGGUCUGUAAGCAGAGGCAGGCACUGGCUCUGUUCUUUACACACUGCAGACUCUUGCGUGUGUGUUUCUGUCAGUGGAGAAUCAUCUGCACUCAGCAGCAGCUCGCCAACAGCAAAACACAACACACACUCCACCUGAGAGCCAAAGCCGUCUUACAGCAGUGGAGGAAACAUACACACUUCAGGAUCAGUCAACGCGCUCUCCUGUGUGAGCAUGACGAGAGGAGGAAGACUGUCACGAAGAGAAGAACGUUUCUCAUGUGGAGUCAGGUAGUGGAGCAUUUCAGAAGAGCUCAGCACUGUCACAGAGGAGCCUUAAAGCACAGGUGUUUCUCUCAGUGGCUCCAUCAGUUAGAGCUGCUGUGUGUGAGCAGAGAGCUGGAGGAGCUCUGGACACAGAGACUGCAGCGGAGAGCUUUCAGCCUGUGGCAGCUCAGACUCAGCCGUGCUCGCUCUCACCUGCAUCACACACGCCGCUGGAGAGACACGCGGCAGCUCCGUCUUUAUCUGAGUGUGUGGAGAGAGAGACUCGAUGAGAGCAAGAGGGCCCGUCUGUGUCGGCUCAGACAGCAGACACACGUCAUGUGCAGGAUGAGAAACACGCUCCUGUGCUGGAGAACAGCGUUCAGCCAGAGGCUCCGGAGCAGAGAUCACUGCACACAGACACAGCAGAGGAGAGCUCUGCUGGCGUGGCACAGACAGACCGUAUCAGCGCAGAGACUGAGGUACAGAGAGGCCUGCUUCCAGUACAGCCGCGAGCUGAGACUGCAGGCUGCUGUAUUGAGGCAGUGGAGAAGAGCACUGAUCCAGGGUCAGCAACAGAUUACUUCACAAGGUUUGAUUCAGGUCUUCAAUUCAUUUAAUAUAUUAUAUUAAAUUUACAUUAAGUCAACACAUUU
rnacentral:lncRNA from 1 species